AUACUCUGGUUUCUCUUCAGACCACAUAAAUCUUUCUCCUUUUACUAAAGAUUUCCAUGGAGAGGAACAAUUCUGAGUUUUAUCUCAAUUUUUUGAGACCUGCCUUAGGAGGGGUU
rfam:Erinaceus europaeus unplaced genomic scaffold scaffold00019, whole genome shotgun sequence